rnacentral:ncRNA from 1 species
GGUAGUAGCAAAUACUUCAGCGAGGACCUGGAGGACUGACGUGGAGAAGGGUUUCGUGUGAACAGCCGUUGCACACGAGUCAGUCGAUCCUAAGCCCUAUGAGAAAUCAUAUGCCGAUGAGGUGUCCUUAAACACAUGUGCAAACGCAACAAUUCGAACGCUAGGUACACACCCAUCGGGCGAAAGGGAAUCCGGUUCCUAUUCCGGAACCCGGUAGCGGAACCGAAAUCCAUUCGGGCCCUCAUUGAGUGUUCGUCGGGGUAACCCAAAAUGACCUGGAGACGCCGUCGGGAGAUCCGGGGAGAGUUUUCUUUUCUGUAUAAGCGUUCGAGUUCCCUGGAAACUUCUAGCAAGGAGAUAGGGUUUGGAACGCGAAGAGCACCGCAGUUGCGGCGGUGUCCGGAUAUUCCCCUCGGACCUUGAAAAUCCAGGAGAGGGCCACGUGGAGGUGUCGCACCGGUUCGUACCCAUAUCCGCAGCAGGUCUCCAAGGUUAAGAGCCUCUAGUC